UCCCUGGCAGUCCAGUGGUUAAGACUUUGCACUGCCAAUGCAGAGGAUGUGGGUUCGAUCCCUGUUCCUGGAA
rnacentral:tRNA from 1 species